rnacentral:lncRNA from 1 species
UUAUUUUAUUUAUUAGAGUAUUUUAGAAUAUUUCUAAUUUCGAUUUUAAUAAUAAUAUUAUUAAUAAAUUAUUAAAUAAAAAAUGAUAUUAUUAAUAAAGUAUUUUAAUAAUAAUAUUAUUUCGAUUUGAAUAUUAUUUAAUAAUAAAUUAUUAAAUAAAAUAAAUUAUUAUUUUAGAAAUAUUAAAUAAUAUUUCUAAAUUAUAUUAUUAAUAUAGAAUAAUAAUAUAAUAAAAUAAAAUAAUAAUAAAGUUAAAUAAGAGUAAAUGAAUAAAAUAAUUCAUAUUUUUUACACAAUAGCUCUGAUUCUUUUUAUGUAUGUGGAUUUCAAUUAAAUAAAAAAAUGAUAGUGCCAUGACCUUCAAAUAAUACCCGUGGUAGUAUAUGAAUCCACAUCAUAUCAUACUAGUAUAGUAACCCGCGCGAUGCCGCGAAUAAAUAAUAGAAAAAAAAUUAAUAAAUAUUGAAGAGUAAAAAGAAAGAAGUUUGGAAAAUAAAAAUUCAAGUGUGUUUUAUUUUUUGGAUAGGGAAACGUAUGAAUUGAACUAACCAAUAUGGUCAUUGAAAAUCGAUAACUGCUCAGAAUCAACAUUCAAAAAAAAAACCCUACAAAAGUUGUAUGAAGAUGGAGAUAAUAAUGUUGCGAUGAUGACGACGAUGGCGAUGAAAAUCUGAUGAAAUUUGCAAGAUUUUGCACCCUUUUGGACAUGGAAUGAUCAAAAGUUGCGAGCCAAAACUGCCACAUCAAUUAUGAAAUAAAAAAUAACCUCUAAAUUAAUCAAAAUAAUACAUAUAAAUCAAAUCCUUGAUUGAUACAAUUACCAUACAAAAAUAAUGCAAAUAAAUUAAAUUCUAAAUGAAUACGUAGUAAGAAUUCGAGAUUAAAAUGAAGAAAAGAAAAAAAUUAGGUUUAGGAUUUUCGUUUUCCAAACCUACCUCUCGAACCGUCCAUUAUUGCUCUCCAAUUAGCUUCCUCUAUUGAAAAAAUCGUUCAAUUACCUUCUUUUUCCAUAAAUCCGAAGAGAUCGACAUUGAUAGAAACCCUAUAAACACUCUUUUGAUUCGGAGGGGGGGUUCGGGUCGAGUCGAAUUGGCAUAGAUUAGGACUUGGAAGACUCCCUUGCUCUUUCCCAAUCUCUAGACCUAAAAGUAGUAAUUAUUCAUCUUCUUAUUUUUUUAAUUUUGCAUGUAAGGAAUUAUUUGUGGGAGAAGAAAGGACUAAUUUUGAAGAGAAAACAUAUAAAUUAAAAAGCAUAUUGAUUACAUAUCAUUGAAUAGAAGGAGAAGAGCCAAGAAUAAAAAUCAAUUCAAAAAAAAUAAUUUUGAAGAGGAAACGUAUAAAUUAAAAAGCACAUUGAUUACAUAUCAUUGAAUAGAGAGGAGGGGAGUGGAAAAGCCAAGAGUAAAAAUCAAUUCAGAAAAAAGAUUAGUGAGGGUGGAGAAAAACUUGCCACGUGGCAAAAUUAUUGAGAAUUCAUAUAGAGUAAUAGAUUCUCAUUUAGAUUAUACAUUAAAAUAAAUUUGGAUGUUAUGAAAGAGAGUUAUUUAGAUUAUAUAUUAGAAUAAAUUUGGAUGUUAUGAAAGAGAGUUACUUUGGAGAUUAUGUAUGAGAAUUAUUUUGGGUUAUCAUUGAGAAUUAUUAGGGAGUGAAAGGAAGUUAUGUAUGUAAUUAAGAAUAACAGUUAUG